rnacentral:SRP_RNA from 1 species
ACCCAGAACAUUCCCAUGUCUGUCACUACUCUGAGGAGGCUGAGACUGGUGGAUCAACUGAACUUAAGAGUUCUGAGCUUGAGUAUGCUAAGCCAAUCAGGUGUCCACACCAACAUAGUAAGUGAGGCUGGAGGAGCAGGGGGCUACCAGGUUGCCUAUGGGAGAGGGGCAAACUAGCCCAGGUCAGAAAUGGAACAGGUCAAAGCUCCUAUGCAAUCAGUAGUGGCAUCAGGCCUGCGAGUGACUACUGCAUAUCCAGCCUGGCCACAAUCUGGAGACCCAGUCUGU